UCCAUUUAGCACAAAAACAAGCAAAACUUAAACAAUAUCCAUGAACUAAAUAUUGAAUACAUAGAUUUGGAAAUAAACUAAAUCAGAACUCUAUUCUUCAAGCAAAUUCAUUCUUCACAUAAAUUCAUUUCUGCACAUUUUCAGCUCGUAGUCAUCAGAGGUACAAUUGUGUACCUGGAUAAGGGAAAAUAUGUGAAGAAAAGAAGUCAGUACUUUGAACAGCAACAGCAACACAACUCAGCAGUAUAGCAUCACAGAACAAGCCAGGAAAUGAUUUUGAAAACCAGAAAUACAAGCAGACUCAACAGAUCAAUUCAACAUACACUUAAAAUGCACUCCUAGCCCUCACAGCUGAACCUAGAUGCCUCUGAAAUCCCGUUGGACCUAAAACCCAACUGAAAUCCAAACUAAUAGGCCCCAAAUUCACCUGAAUCAGUCGUUAAUCACUUCUAAACACUUUUAAAAAUAGAACCUCGAGCUGGAAUAAAGAAUGCCCAAGGAAGGACUGAGAAUCACUAACACUAGUAAUGAAAUAGUAAAACUGUUUUUGAUUUUUUCAUUUUUUGAUGUUUUAUUUUUUGAGUACUGGAAUUGAAAUGCUAGCUGAAAUUGAAAGCAGGGAGGAGAGCUUUUGGUGAGGAUUUUUGGG
rnacentral:lncRNA from 1 species